AGAGUUUGAUCAUGGCUCAGGAUGAACGCUAGCUACAGGCUUAACACAUGCAAGUCGAGGGGAAACGAUAUUGGAAGCUUGCUUCCGAUAGGCGUCGACCGGCGCACGGGUGAAUAACGCGUAUCCAACCUGCCCACCACUUGGGGAUAACCUUGCGAAAGUAAGACUAAUACCCAAUGACGUCUCUAGAAGACAUCUGAAAGAGAUUAAAGAUUUAUCGGUGAUGGAUGGGGAUGCGUCUGAUUAGCUUGUUGGCGGGGUAACGGCCCACCAAGGCGGUACGAUCAGUAGGGGUUCUGAGAGGAAGGUCCCCCACAUUGGAACUGAGACACGGUCCAAACUCCUACGGGAGGCA
rnacentral:rRNA from 1 species